rnacentral:rRNA from 1 species
UAAGGAAUCUUCGGCAAUGGGGCAACCCUGACCGAGCAACGCCGCGUGAGUGAAGAAGGUUUUCGGAUCGUAAAACUCUGUUGUUAGAGAAGAACACGAGUGAGAGUAACUGUUCAUUCGAUGACGGUAUCUAACCAGCAAGUCACGGCUAACUACGUGCCA